AACACAUUAACUGACCUUACUUUCAGCUAUCUGAAAGGAAAAUUUAUUUGGCAGUUUGAGGCUUUGAGGUGGAAAGGACAAGUAUGUCUUGCAUAAGAAUUAUUUUUUGAAGAAGUAUUACUAUUAGUUUUUGUUGUUUGUUUGUUUGUUUGUUUUUUUGUGAAUUAAUCCAGUAGCAUUGCAUAAAUUUAAACAAGAAAGCAAAAUGUUGAUACAGGAACACUUCUACUCAGCUUACAUUCUCUUCUUAUAACCAUUAAUUCACUCUGCUUGUAAGCAUCCAUAAAGGUUUUUACCUUUGUAGCCAUUUCCUGCUAUGGAUGCCUGUAGCCCAUCUGAUGCUGUCAGACACGCAUCACUCCUGAACUCUGAUCCCUUCUUUGGUCUCUCACUUUGCUUCUAGUAUAAGGUUUGGUUCUAACUUUCAAAGCCAUUGAUGCAUCCUCUCUUGGCUACAGCAGAGAUAGCAUCUUUUUCUCUCAAUAGGACUGCAGCAUUCUUUUCAUCAACAAAAAUCAAAAGCCAACGAUAAUGUUAUAAUAACUAACAAGGAAGAAGAGGAAGUUGACUGCAUAAUAAAGUGGCAUGUACCAGAAUCAGGAAAAAUGGAUUGGACUUUGAAGGAUAGAGAGCAUAAUUAUAUAUGUCAUUUUGACCAUACUGCUGAUCAGCUUUUUCAAUACCAAGGGCCUCUGUUUCCAUCUGAGGACAUUUCUCCUACUUUGUAGUGUGGAAAUGGCAGAUGAGUUGAACAGCUAGGAAACCAUAACCCAUCUUGAAUUCAUUCCAUCCUGGGAGAGAGCAAUAUGAAAAGAAGACAGUGUUGAUAAAUGAAGUAUUUGUUCAGCAAGUAUAGACAGAUUAAAAACAACUUCUUGAUAAAACAGCAUCAAAAAACAUAUACAGAUCGUUUCUGCCUUCCCUCAUUGUUACCUAUCUGCUUUCAUUAAAUAAAAAUGCCAACGUGAUGAUGCUAAUCUAGUUCAGCUGCAGGAGCUCUUUGAUAGUAAGUUCAGAGAGGCUUUUCAUCCUUUAUGUUCUGUCCUGAUGGAGGACAGCAAAACAGGAAGUUCUCAUGCAUAGCUCCUUCCUCUUUAUAAUGGCAGAGUGGAAGAUAGCCAUCUGCAAUCUCAUGCCAUUAUACUGAAAAGUGCUGGCUCCUCUCAACUCCUCGCAACAGCUGUUCCUGAGUGCACAGCUUUGUCCUCAGCAGACAGCUGGCUCUGCUGCUAUUGGUGGGAAGUGAUCUGUUUGCACAGAGUCAGGGCUAAAAGGGAACCCAGAUAUGAUCUGGUCCCUCCUCUGGCCGUGAGGCCGGACUGGCACUUUGGACGGCUGUUAGGGCUGGCAGCCAGAGAUCUUGUUUGUGAGAGCCAAGUUAAGCUGUCUGUCCUAAAUUAGGAGACCUGUUAGAUUUCACUGUGUGCAGUGGCAGUUUAAUGACCAGUUGUUUUUCAGCCUUUAAACUACGUCAAUUUAUUUAAACAAUGUGAUUUUGUGAAAAUGUAAACUUUACAUGAGAAAUUCAUCAUGAAUAUGGUGGCUUGAUUUUUACUAACGCAAUUUUCUCUUUUUAUUUUCCAGUUGCAUUUUUCGAAGUCUCUGCUACCUCCUGCAACAGCUUUGUUAGGACAGAAACAUUAAAAUCUAUCACUUGGAUUCCUUAGCUGUACAACUGCAAUGUAUAUGGGACUUCAAAAUAAAUAAGGCAGACCUCAAACAGGAGUAAAUUCUUUCCAAAUGGCUCAAAGGCACAAAGCUGCACGCUGGGGAAGAAAACAGCUCUGAUGAUAGGACUCCUUCUGGCAGACUCUGAACAUUUCAAAACUAGACUGUGAUUUAAUUCUGACCAUACGACUGCAGUUGUCAUAGCAAUAAAAUGAAGGUACAUUGUCAAAUAGCCUUCAAACAGCCGACACAGACCUGGUAAUUCCAUUUCUAAUCCUUUUACCCUACAUGUAGACACCGUAGAGGAAGACUAGUGAAGAGCUCACAACAGUUAAUCAUCUUCUCAACCACUUUACUAAGUUUUCUAUCGCUGAGCUGCAGGAUGUUUUUCCUGUUUUCUUGCCAGCCUUCUCCAAAGUAGCAUCAGCUAAGCUGACCAUGUGGCCUAGGAGUUGCAUGAUAUCACUUGGUAAUAUACACUGUAUCUGAAUACGAUGAAAAAGUCUUUUCUCACAUUUUCAGAAGUAUCUAUGAGGCUUUCCUUUGGCUGAGGGCUCCCAUCUGCCACACGGCUCCUAUCUGCUUUCCGUUGGUAAUGAGGGACAUGGUUUAGUGGGGAAAUACUGGCAAUAGAUGGACUAGAUGAUCCUGGAGGUCUUUUCCAACCUUGGUGAUUCUGUGGUUCUCACCAGGUAUGCCUGCAUCCAGCACAGCUAGGUCUGGUGGGAGAGCAUGCAUUUCCCAUGUCAUGGUGAGAUACACAGCUAUGACAAAGGAGGGAGACUGAAGAUGCAAGAGGUAUGUUUUUAGUCAUCUUUAGAGUUCACUGUACAUUGCAGCUUCAGUGACUGUGUAGCUGACUAAACAUUAACGCUCACUCACUUUACUUUAAGGGAGAUGCUGCGAAAGUGAGGCAGUCGAGGAUCCUUUAAUAUGUACUUACUGACACGUAAUUCAUUUUCAUUGUUUUAACUAGCUGCUGUCCCCAUUUUAUGACUGCAGUAGUAUGCUGACCUUGGACUCUUUUUUAGAGAAAACUGCUGAAAACCUGAGCCAGGUAAUAGACAACGCCUCCAGGGGGGACAGAUGCAAUGCUGGAUCUGUUGCUCACCAGCAUGAGUGAACCAAUUGGUGACAUCAUGAUUGGAAGCUGCCUGCACUGUAGUGACCACGCAGUGGUGGAGUUCAUGCUCUUGAGGGAUACUGGAUAGGCAAAGAGUAAAAUCAGAAAGCUUAUUUUUAGGAAAGCCAACUCCCAGUUCUUCAGGGAGUCAGUCAACAAAACCCCCUGGGAAUCUGUCUUCAAGGACAAGGGAGCAGAGCAGAGCUGGCAGAUCUUUAAGGAAGCCAUCCUCAUGGCAUAAGAACUCUCUUUCCCUAGAUGAAAAAAUCAAGAAAAAAGGCAAGAGACCAGCAUGGCUGAACCAGGACCUGCUGGUCAAACUGGAGAGCAAGAAGAAAAUGCACAUGUGUAAACUGAGGCUAUGGAGGAAAAAUGGGAAAAAGCAUUGUUGUUGCGUGGUUUGGACUGAAAGCAGCAGGCUUGCGUAGUAACACAGCUUGUUUGAUCAUGUGUAUAACCAAACUCUGACUUGAAGCUGCAUGUAACGAUUACUCAGUAUUUAAGCUAUACUUUCCCACCAAGUAACUCUUUCAAAAGAAUCUCCCUACCUCAUGUUGUUAUAAAGUGGUGAAGAGAAAGCUCAGUAACCAAAACAACAAGCAUGGAACAAUGCUUCUGGAACAAUUGUUUAUUGACUUAAAUUUAUUAUUUUUUAAAAAACUUCUCACUAGCCAGCCCGCCAUCACUGUGUUUAAAUCUAGCUUAGGAAAAGGUGGUCUUGAAAGUUCUAAAAACCUUAGCAAGUCCUAAUAGUCCAUCCUUCUUCCAGUACAAAUAGCAUUGUGGAGUAAUUCCUUGAGACAUUUAUGUUUCUCUUGGUACAUGCCACAUUUCCUAGCUCACAAGCAUGCUGCAUUAAAAAGCACAAAUGAUUUCCACUGCUAACUUUAAGCUUCAUUUAGGAGAAAACUUUAGGAAUUUUGCUUAAGUCCACUCUCACCACUGGGACUGCGUAAGCAUCUGUAAAACAACCUUUGAUUCUUGCAGAGACAGGAUUUUCUAUGCUUAAUUCAAAGAAAUCUUUGAGGGUGCCGGAUGUCUUGAAAUGACAAAUUAACACACACAAACAUGAAGAAGCUCUGCUAAACACCGUGCUUUUUAUUUUUCAGGAAAAAGCAAGAAAAUAGCAGUAUUUCAACAGACUAGAAAAAGCCUCAUAUAAAUACCAAAAGCACAGCAAAUCAUAUUCGCAGCUGAUACAUUCCUAGGUCAAAGCAUCAAGUUGCAUGCACAUGUAUGUGUGUACACAUACACAACACAUACAUGCACACAGCAGUUUAAAUAUAGAUGUAGCCAUUUGGAUUAUUUGCAUCUGACUUAUUUAUUUUAGUUUUGUGUGAGAGAAGUAAUUAGACCAGAAUUAACAAAAAGAAAUCCAGCAAUUUUCACAGACUAGUUUAAAAGCUUAAACACAUACACAAUUACAGCACAGUCUUUACUCUUGUGGCCAUUAAAUUCCACCUAAAAUAAACCAGUUUUAGAGAGAAUGCACAAAACUCCACCCUGAAGGUCUCCUUGCUUUUAUCACUGCAACAUCCUAGCAUUUGCUAAAAAACUAAGAGAAUAGCUACCCCAGAAAUUGAUUUCGAAUUCAUUCUGUAAACUGUAUGCAUGCCAGACGUAAACCAUGCAAAAACCCCUUGAGCUUUAAGCCCUUAUUAUUAGCUUGUGUCAUGAGUCAGGCACUGUGAUUUACAGCAUUUUUAAAAUGAAAGCUAAAUGAAAAUCACAUUGGGAGCUGGUUUUUACUUAAAACAGAAAUGAGGGAAGAGUAAGAUAGUUGGCAACUCACGUAUUCCACACUAAUUAAGUGUUACAGGUACAUGCUAUGAAAUUUUAAAAAGAAAAUUGAGUGCUUUAAGUUCUGAAAACAAAAAUAAGUUAUACUUCAAAGAACAAGUCAGUAUAAAAAGUUUUAACGUAUGCAAAGUAUGUGCUCAAAAUAUUUAUUUUGCGUUUUUAAAAAGAGCUGUAAUCUACCUUACAGAAACAAAGUUCACCCAAUACAAAAUAUUGCAAUUUGUCCCAUUUUGUCAUAUGAGAGCUCUCCCUCAUAUGAUCCAGAACACUUGCACAAGAGUUCACGUUAUUCCAAGCCACACAGUGGCAGACAGACUAUGUUUGAUUCUGUGCUUUUACUCCGCAGUACAGUAAAAGCUAAGCAAACCAUUUC